rnacentral:rRNA from 1 species
GUGUGAGAGACGACAGACUGGAUUGAGAUAUGACCGGCCACCUCUCGAAAUGAGAGAUGACUUAGCGUUCCGUAGGUGAACCUGCGGAAGGAUCAUU